rnacentral:rRNA from 1 species
CGACGUGGAGAACCUGCCGUAUACUGGGGGAUAACACUUAGAAAUAGGUGCUAAUACCGCAUAAGCGCACAGCUUCGCAUGAAGCAGUGUGGAAAACAAAAAGCUAAAGCUUUUGGUGGUAUACGAUGGAUCCGCGUCUGAUUAGCUGGUUGGCGGGGUAAAGGCCCACCAAGGCGACGAUCAGUAGCCGGCCUGAGAGGGUGAACGGCCACAUUGGGACUGAGACACGGCCCAAACUCCUACGGAAGGCAGCAG